rnacentral:pre_miRNA from 1 species
CAACUACUCCCUCUGUCCCAAAUUUCUUGUCUUAGAUUUGUCUAGAUAUGGAUGUAUCUAAUACAAAAAUGUGACUUGAUACAUCCGUAUCUAGACAAAUCUAAGACAGGAAUUUUGGGACGGAGGGAGUACUUU